GAAGUGUUGAGUGCCCAGCCUAUGCUGAUAUUUUAAUCAAUUUUUUUUUCUUCUUGUUUACGGCAUUAUUAGCCAUAGGGUUUUCUGGAAGGGCGGGGGAAGAAAAGGGUAGAAUUCAGAGAAUGAACCUUAAUUUUAUAUUUUAGUAUAGAUGGCGACAUUUGGAAAUGAUUUUUCCACAAAAUUGCACACAAAAGUUGUCCACAAAAAUUCCAUUCAACAAGUAGUUUCCCUGAAGAGUAGCUUCCCUGGUAACAGCUCUAACCAUUUCAUGUUACGUUGCUCCCUCAGGAAAAUGUUUUCUGCAUUUUAACUGCAAUCACCAGGGCCUUAGCUCCCCUUGGAAUAUGAGGGUUCCCUCUUGCAGCAGCCAAGGUUCUGUGCAGUGGGGUGGAGUGGGCUGUGGGCGGGGGCAGAGGGAGAGGGGAAGAUCAGGCUCAGGUGGCCCAGAACUCUCUGCAGCUGUGCCAGAGAAGGCACCUUCUUGUUAUUCUGGUGUGGUUUUCAUAAAAAGCCCUAGAAGGAAUGAAGUGACAUGGGAACAAAUCCCUACAAGCAAAGCUAGGCUGGGUAUAGAUGACUAAUCAUAUUACUCAUCUUAGAAUCAAGUUAUUCCGAAAGAAGGUAUAUUUUAAAUUUAUAUUAAAAGAAUUUUACAAAGAUAUGUUGGAAAGGUGUAGCAAUGGGGGCAGGUAGGUUGAGCAGAUUAACAGGGUUUCCGCAUGCACACUGGAAGCAAAAGACUAGACAUCAGAGGCCCGUAGGUAGCCAUCUUUAUUUUCUGGGAACCAUAAAGACCCCAGCAGUAUGGACCAAGGGCAUUAGGGGAGAAAACACUGGACUCAGUAUAGCACGGAGUAUUCUUGGCCAUCCCAUUUGGAUGGUAUGCACUGCUCAGGGGAAACUGUAGUCUUGGGGCUACUGGUAUAUAUGGGGGGCUUUGAUGGGUAACCAGCUUGCUGUGUGUUUGUCAGGGAAUGUCUUAGUAUUGGUGCCAAAAGACCCUAAUCCUGGGAAACUCCACAAGCCUGCCUGGGCAAGCCAGGAUGGCUGGCCCCACAAGCUCUCCAAGGGGCAGGGAAUUUGUGCUGCAUGAAGGAGGCUGGUGCAGAUACUGCUCACCAGCGACACAGGAACCCAGCCUGGGCAAUUGCCCUCAAGCAAGAAAAAGGGAGAAAUUACAAAAUCAAAACUUGGCGAUCUUGAUGUUCCAAAAAUUUCCAAAGGUCUUUGGUCAGUAAAGCAACAACCAAUUGUCAGCUCAAAGGCAUAAAACUGGAAGACUAGAACAUACUGAUAUAUUCAUUUCUAGUUCUGACAAAUAACUUCCUCGGCAAUUUUUUUUCACAAAUCAAUUUCCAAAUAUUUUUCUAUGUUUUAAAAAUUAUAUGCUGGAUAUCUCCAUCUUUUAGAAAAGUUCUCCCUAUGUGAGACAUAUUUAUUUGUUAAUAUAUUUACUACUUCCUCUGAAAUGCUAUAACUCUUUUGUUUCCUCAUUCUGAUAGCUUCAUUUUAGUCAUUUUGUUAUGAAAUAAAAUCUGGAAGAAAAAAGACAUCGUCUCGCCACACCACACAGGUGAAGACAGUCCUCAUCAGUCCCAAUCCUGAUGUCUGGAAUUGGGGAGCCCAUGGGCUCAAGGCGGGUGUUCCUUGCUACACAUUUAUGGAUAUAAACCAGAGUCGUUCUGUAGAGGUCUGGAACUGCAGGAAGAUUAGAAUCUUCUGCUCCCAGGCUACUGAGGCCCAGAGAGGGGAACUGACUUGCACAAGGUCUCCCAGCAAUUAGGGUUAGAGAACUAACCUGUCCCUUGUUGGGAAUGAACCCUCUGGGUUUAGAGGCUCCUAGCCCAGGACAAACCAAUCUGUGUUGGAUAAAGGGAAUGGAGAGCAGAGAAGGGCCGAGUCUGAGAAUCGGGUUGAUUAGGAAGCAGGCUGGUCUGACGUUGACUACGUAGGGAGGGCUGCCAUGGCUGGUACCACCUCUUACCUGUUCCUGAGGGCAGGGUAACCUCCCGUGGGAAGAGCUGGGUCUCUCUCUCUCUACACUCUGUCUAGCACAACAAACAGGUUGAACCAGUAACAUCUCCCAGAAGAGCAUGAAAGGUUGCCACGUGGCCUGAGCCUGCAGAGGCAUUCUCCGCAGGGCCACACGGUGGUUCUGCGCACAGUUAAGUUGUUCAGUUUUCAUCUCUCACCAUCUUCCCCUCCUCAUCACCUCCACCUGGGGCUGCGUGGAUUCUGUUCAGCGACCCAGCCUCACUGUGGUGGCAGAGGCCAGAAACAUACCCACACCAUACAGUGUGAUGUGUGUGAGAAGGGAUGGCCAGGGGACACAGCAAGGUGAAAUGUCUGUCCAAAGUGCAUGAGAGCAGUCUGCAGCAAGGAUGGCAGGAGGCAUGACAGUAAGGUCAUCCCGCUCACUGCAGUAGGUCUCCUCUUUAACCAUACACACACGCACACAAUUUUCUGUAUGUUUCCUUAGCACCCAGAAGUUAUUUACUUUCAAAAUGAUCAGUCUUUUUACUGAAGCUUACUGGCUUUCCAACUAGUCCUAAAUUGUGAGGCUUUACUGAAGUACUUGAGCAUGUGAAGUGAACUGAGGAGGAAAAUGGCUUUGCUGGCAGAGUUUGAGAUGCAAUGAGUACAAGCCAUUUGCCUAUGAAGAGGCUGUUUCCUCCCUCUCUCAGGGGGGACAAGUAGCCAGUCUGUGGUGACAUCUGUUGUCUAGAUGCACAGCUUUUAGAUGCCUAAAAAAGAUGCUUUGGGUGCAGGGGUGGAAAGACUUGGUUGUGCCUUAGUUUUCUUAUCUUAGUCAUUCCUGUUAACCUUAGAAAAAAGGUGAAAAACUUACUGAAAGAUAAGAAACAAUAAGACACAAUUGUACAUUAUUAGGGAUCCUAUGCUUGGUAGAAUUUUUGCAAUGUAAAUAAAUUACAUCUCAAGUUCUGAUCCUUUUCAGCAGAAAUUCUUUCCUCUCCCAAGUCUAGUCACUGAGAAGCAAAGUGCCGUUGCCUUUUAUUUCUUCAAUGCUUCUUUUUGGUGCCUGAAUGCACACCAAGGAAGAGCUCCCCUCCAGAGCUUCACUGCAUCAUGGACUUGUGCAGGGGCCAGCCAGAGUGUUUCUCAAAAUCUUUUAAGUCUCUGAAUUAUAAACAGAGCUAAAUGGGACCUUGGAGAUCAUCUUGUCCAGCCCCCUCCUAGAGAAGGAGACUGAAGCUCAGAGUGGUUAAGUGACUUGCCCAAGGUCAACAGGAUGCUGUGUUAUUAUUAUUAUGAUUAUUUUUGCAUCAGGACUUGUGGGAUCUGUAGUAACUAUUCUCUUGGCCAAUUAUAAUCACAUCACUGGCAUUGUUUUACGAGAAAUAGCCCCGCUAGGCCCAGUCAGCAAUAAGUCUUUGGAGCUGUCUCAGCCUGCAGUUGCUUUAUAUAAACUAUCCCUUUUAUGGGAGUUGAAGCACUGUAUGAAAAGGGUUUUUGUCUCAUGUUGACCUUGUUUAGUCACAUUAACGCACACAUCAGUUCCAGGCCCCAUUCCAUUCUCUGAACAUCUUCUGACACACUGACAGUGCUGAGCAAAGCAAGGUUGGGUUCGCUCCUCUGGCAGAACCUCGGCUCUCAGGAGGUCCUUGUUCCAGGGAACAGCUGCUUCUCUGGGGCUGGGCUCUACUCCCUGCAGCCCCUCGCACUACCCAGCUGGAACCAGGGACAACGCCUGAGUCCAACCCUCGUGUCUAUUUUCCAGAAAACGGGCAAUGCUGUGAGAGCCAUUGGAAGACUGUCCUCUAUGGCAAUGAUCUCAGGGCUCAGUGGCAGGAAAUCCUCAACAGGGUCACCAACCAGCCCGCUCAAUGCAGAAAAACUAGAAUCUGAAGAAGAUGUGUCCCAAGCUUUCCUUGAGGCUGUUGCUGAGGAAAAGCCUCAUGUAAAACCCUAUUUCUCUAAGACCAUUCGCGAUUUAGAAGUUGUGGAGGGAAGUGCUGCUAGAUUUGACUGCAAGAUUGAAGGUAAGUUGUAGCUGUGCUUCUCUUCACCAUGAAUAGGGUGUGGCUGGAUGGUAGAGUCCCUACCAUGCACCCUGGGCAAGAAGUCAGUUCUGUGCAGCUGGGGACAAUGAGGAACCGCCAAGCUUUGGGGGAAACUGGGUCAGCAGGAGCUGCUCAUAAAGGGCUAUGCCCUGCACUCCCACCUCCUGAAGGUGUGUCCUUCAGUCACUUCCCCAGGGGGCACAUUUGAAAUUUCACCUACUUACACCAGCCACUAGACCUAAGUUUAGAAAUGGCCUUGCAUGGACUCACCUGGCUUUGGAACAUGCUUAGUGAAAUGAGCUUUGCAAACUGCUGAAAAGCAUGUGACUUGCCCAUACGAGGCCCUCAAAGGAAGGCUGGCACAAAGGCAUAGGAUGUGGAAUCGGCAGGCUCUGCUACUCGUCCACAGGCUGUGUGACCUUGGAUGGUGGUCCAACUCCCCUGAGUUACGGUCCCUCUGCUGUAAGAUGAUAGCUAAGUCAUGGAGUGGCUCUGGGGAUUCUGUGAGGGGACAUAUGUGAGAAGGGGGAACCUUUUAGAUCUUGUAAAGAUGUCACAGAGCAAAGGGAAAAGUUGUGGGACUGGCAGGUACAGAGAGAGUGCAUGCAUUGUGACUUCAGACUGAGGCCAGUUGGGAGCCAGGCACCCGGGACAAAGCACUCAGCCGGCACCAUCUUCCCCAGGCUGCUUAUCUGCCUGCUGGGAAUAAUGCAGCCACAGACCUGUCAGUGGUCAGAGCUCAAGGGACCUUAAGGGGUCAUGGCAUAGCACCUGAGAAAUGAGCAAAGUUGAUGACACAAAGCGUUUCCAUUUUCAUAUAGAUUGCAACCGUCUAGAAAGAGAAGGGACAAGAUAAGACAGGCUCUUUGCUUCAAGUCUGUGACUUUCACCUGCCAACCAGGGUGGUGGGUUAUCGCCCAUUUUGGUCUGACCAAAUAAAGCACAGAAGUUUAUUAGGCAACUUUCCCAAGGCCGCAUAGCACAGUACAGCAGUCAGAACAAACUGUGCCUCUCACUUUCUUUGAUUCUCCAGCAAUGUGACUAGACAAUGCCUUUUGAGUAAAAUAACCCAAAGUUAGGAAUGGAAAAAAUAGUUUUUCUUCUGCAUCUUUAUAUUAUCAAAGUGCCUUAUCAAUGCUUCGUCUACCAUAGUCAUUUUCCUUUCCUCACUCAAUUAAAAGAAAGUGGAUGUGCUGCCUUUGAUAAUGUGAAAAUUCUCGGACUGGGGAUUCUGCUGAACGCUCUGGAGCCACUGCUUGCAAUUCUCACCAUUACCAUUGCAUUUGGGUCUUCUGAAGUUUCUUUUCCUUUUUGAAUGUUUUAAAAUAACAUAAUGAUUAUCAUUUUGUACUUGAUUUUCUCUUUGGGAUUGUUUCAUACUUAAUUUUCUCUUUGGAAUUGUUUCAUUGAUAUUUAUGUAACUUUUGCCUGGGGCUCUGAUGAGAAAUUAAAGCAUAUGGAUGCUGUUAUGAUAAAAACAAAAUUGAAACUUUUGCACUGAGAGUGCAGGGCAUGGGAGUGGAGGGUACUUUAUGACCAGCUCUUCCUGACCCAAUUUUCCUCAUGGUCUGGGUGUUCCUAAUUACUUCAAAAAAACAAUUUCUAAAAUUAUUUUGAAAAAACAACAUUGAAAAGAACAUUAGAAUUCUUGAUUUCUUAUGUAUAAUUUUUAUUCUGGUUAGGGCUCAUAUUAGCCUGUUUGCAUUGCUAUAAAGGAAUACCUGAGGCUGGAAAAUUUAUAAAGAAAAGAAGCUUAUUUGGCUUGGUGCCAGUAUCUGCAUCCAGUGAGGCCUCAGGAUGCUUUUAAUCAUAGCAGAAGCAGGCAUGUCACAUGGCAAGUGAGAGAGCGAGAGAGAAGGACGUGCCACGUUUUAACAACCAGAUCCGCAUGAACUGACAGAGCAAUAACUCACCCAUUACCUCGGGAAGGGCACCAAGACAUUCAUGAGGGAUCGGCCUCCAUGACCCAAACACCUCCCACCAGGCCCCACCUCCAACACUGGGGAUCACAUUUCAACAUGAGAUUCAAGGGGCACAAAUAUCCAAACCGUAUCAGGGCUACAAUUUUUUUCCUAUAAAAAUACUUCACCAACAUUUAAGAGAAAGUCAGGUGGAAUAUAUUGUGUAUUUUUAAAGGUAUGUGUAUAUAUAUGACUUUAAAAGCGGGGUACAUGUAUAUACUAUGUACCUGCAAACAAAAUGCAUAAUGUUGGUAAUGCUUCUGUACAAUAUAUAUGUACACAUACACAUUAAAUACAUAUAAUAUAUA
rnacentral:sRNA from 1 species